rnacentral:rRNA from 1 species
AAUCAACGCUGGCGGCGUGCCUAACACAUGCAAGUCGAACGCGAAAGUGGAGCAAUCCAUGAGUAGAGUGGCAAACGGGUGAGUAACACGUGGGUGACCUGCCUUCGAGUGGGGGAUAACGUCCCGAAAGGGACGCUAAUACCGCAUGACAUGCUGUCUUUGAACAGAUGGACAUCAAAGCCGGGGAUCGCAAGACCUGGCGCUUGAAGAGGGGCCCGCGCCUGAUUAGCUAGUUGGUGGGUAAUGGCUCACCAAGGCAACGAUCAGUAUCCGGCCUGAGAGGGCGGACGGACACACUGGGACUGAGACACGGCCCAGACU